UACGUAGGGUGCAAGCGUUGUCCGGAAUUAUUGGGCGUAAAGAGCUCGUAGGCGGUCUGUCGCGUCGGAUGUGAAAACCCAGGGCUCAACCCUGGGCCUGCAUUCGAUACGGGCAGACUAGAGUUCGGUAGGGGAGACUGGAAUUCCUGGUGUAGCGGUGAAAUGCGCAGAUAUCAGGAGGAACACCGGUGGCGAAGGCGGGUCUCUGGACCGGUACUGACGCUGAGGCGCGAAAGCGUGGGGAGCAAACGGG
rnacentral:rRNA from 1 species